rnacentral:rRNA from 1 species
AUCUACAGCCAUGCCACCCUGAACAUGCCCGAUCUCAUCUGAUCUCGGAAGAUAAGCAUCCUAGGUGGAUGGGAGACCACCUAGGAAGACCAGGUGCUGUAGGCA